GAUGAACGCUAGCUACAGGCUUAACACAUGCAAGUCGCGGGGCAGCAUGGGGGUUGCUUGCAAUCCCUGAUGGCGACCGGCGCACGGGUGAGUAACGCGUAUCCAACCUGCCCUUCACCACGGGAUAACCCGGCGAAAGUCGGACUAAUACCGUAUGUUGUCCAUUGACGGCAUCCGAUUUGGACGAAAGGCUUAGCGGUGAGGGAUGGGGAUGCGUCCGAUUAGCUUGACGGCGGGGUAACGGCCCACCGUGGCAACGAUCGGUAGGGGUUCUGAGAGGAAGGUCCCCCACACUGGAACUGAGACACGGUCCAGACUCCUACGGGAGGCAGCAGUGAGGAAUAUUGGUCAAUGGGCGGAAGCCUGAACCAGCCAAGUAGCGUGCAGGAUGACGGCCCUAUGGGUUGUAAACUGCUUUUAUGCGGGGAUAAAGUGGCCCACGUGUGGGUUUUUGCAGGUACCGC
rnacentral:rRNA from 1 species